rnacentral:misc_RNA from 1 species
GAUGAAGAACGCAGCGAAAUGCGAUAAGUAAUGUGAAUUGCAGAAUUCAGUGAAUCAUCGAAUCUUUUGAACGCACAUUGCGCCCGCCAGUAUUCUGGCGGGCAUGCCUGUCUGAGCGUCAUUUCAACCCUCAAGCAACUUCUGCUUGGUGUUGGGGAUCGGCCGUCAAACGCCGCCCCCGAAAUCUAUUGGCGAUCUCGCUGUAGCUUCCUAUGCGUAGUAGUAACAUCUCGCAUCUGGAGAGCGGCGCGGUCAUGCCGUAAAACACCCAACUUCUCAGGUUGACCUCAGAUCAGGUAGGAAUACCCGCUGAACUUAAGCAUAUCAAUAAGCGGAGGA